UGCGCCUUGUUUUUAACAACAUAUAUGUGGACUAUAAACUUUACAGAUGACAUUCACGUUUUACUGUAGGAAACUCCUGGACUUUAACCCUGAAUAUUUUUUGUUUUUGUUUAAAGUUACUUUUAAAGCAAAGGCCAUUGGACGAGAUAAAAUGUUUAUCAAUACAUGUGUAAACGAACUGUUCAACACGUGAACCCAACCGGUUUGUCAGAGUGCAUGUAAUACCAAUUGUACAAAUAUUAAUUGAUAAAAAAUAACCUUGAACCAUUAUAAGAAGAUAUACCUGUAUUACUUAUGUUAUAAGAAUUGAAGGUGACAGUGCGUGUAUUAUCUUUAUCAUUUACAUUUUGUCAAUGAUUUACGUCGUAGUUUGAAAUAUAUUGGAAUUUCGAUUUUUAAUAUAUUUGUUGUACAUUUGUUGAUAAUUGUAUCCAUUCGAACGCAUUUGAAGAAUCUCUGAACAGAACAUAUAAGCAAUGGCAAGUGGAUUUAUAAGAACAGUUGCAAGAUGGGUUGUAUUUAUUGUGAUCCUAGGUUGGCAUUUAUUCCGAGAUUUAGUGGGAUAUGUUAUACCAGCACUGAAGCCUUCACAAGAUAUUGGAACAUUGAAGUCAUCAUGAAACUAAAUCAAACUUUUUCAUGACAAUUUAAAAGCAUUAUCAUUUUUGUAUGUAUUAAAGCAUAAUAACAAAUAAAUUUGAUUAAACAUUUUAUAUGAAAAAA